GUACCUUGUUCAAUGGUCAGUUCUGUAGGCCCAGUACUGUCUGCACAUUAAACAGCUGGGAGAGCUUUAAGCAACAAAUAAAUGCUGCCCUGGUCCCACCCCAGACCAACUGAAUCUUGAUUUCUGGGUGUGAAGCCCUGGCACUGGCACAUUUAGAAAUCUCCACAGGUGAUUCUGGUGCAUGAAGAAGGUUGACAACUACUAUGUUAGUUAACCUUUCUUUACUUGGCUAUGUUCUGUUUGCUUCCAAGUUUGGAAUAAACCUGUUUGAAUUCUUUUGCGGAACAAAUAUCUCUAUCACUGAAAAGAUACUGGUGCUAUUUCAUAGUGAGAGUAGAAUAAAUUUUCUUAUCUAUAGAAUGGGAAUAAUAGCAACUACCUCUUAAGAUUGUUGUAAAAAUUAAAUGACCUAAUCUAUUUAGAUCUCUAAAACUCUUAAAACACUAUCUAGGCUGUAAGUAUUUGAUAAAUACAUGAAAAAGAGGGUGAUGUGUUUGUUACUGUUGUUUUCUUCCUUGGUUAAUGACUCCAUUUUCCUCCCAGAUAAAGCUCCCAGAACAGUUUUUGACUCCAGCCUGUCCUUUCAUCAUAUCCCUUGUCAAGUCCUGUUCCUCAGACCCUAAGCAAUCUGGAAACUGCCCCUUCUUUUUCAUCCCAUUGCCCCGGUGCUAAUCCCUGCUCCUUUUCCUGUCUCUCCUGGAUUGUGGCUGUCAAACCAGUCUCUUUAGCAAUGAUCUCUUUGUGUCUCAAUCAUCCCGAAAUGGUUCUCAAAUUGUCCUAAAGUCAAGCUGUGACUGCCAAGCUCAAAACUCGAACUUAUGUCCUCAUUGCUAUGAAAAUUCAAAUCCAAGUUUAAUGAGUUGGGCAGUUUAGUUACUUUCUCCAAGACUCCAUUUCUUUGUGUUUAAUGGGGAUCAUAUAAUUUUCUACUCAAUAGGGUUGUUGGUGAGAAUAGAAUCAGAGAAUAAAGUAUCUAGAAAGCUGCAUGGCGCAUAAGGGCUUUGUAAAUAUUAACUGUUAUUGUUGUUAUUACUGUUCUUAUUUAAUAACAUUAAUAUGUUAUUAUUGAAAAUUGCCAAUCCAGCAACCAUCCUAGGUGCUGGCCAUAUGGAAGUCGUUGCUGUUCUCAGAUCACCCCCCCGGAUCAGGCCUCUGCUCCCGUUGUCUUUAUCUUUGGAAUGCCUAUUACCACCCUUCAGGUGUCUGAAUCCUAUCAGUCCUAAAGGGCCACCUCCUGGAAGCACUUCUUCUAACUUGGGAUAAAAAUCUCUUCUUUGGGGAGUUCCUGUUGUGGCUCAGUGGUUAACGAAUCUGACUAGGAACUAUGAGGUUGCAGAUUCAAUCCUUGGCCUCACUCAGUGGUUGGGGAUCUGGCAUUCCCAUGAGCUGUGGUGUAGGUCGAAGAUCCAGCUCAGAUCUGGCGUUGCUAUGGCUGUGAUGUAGGCCAGUAGCUACAGCUCUGAUUGGACCCCUAGCCUGGGAACCUCCAUAUCCUGCAAGAGCAGCCCCAGAAAAGAUAAAAAGACAAAAGCAAACAAACAAACAAACAAACAAACAAAAAACUCUUAAGGCAGGGGUUCUUAAACUUUUGCAGAUAUCUCAUUCACCUGGGGAGCUUGUUAAAAUACUGAUUCCUGGGCCUAGCACUGAAGAUCCUAAUUCAGGAUGUCUGGGGUAGGACCUAAGAAUUUACAUUUCUAGCAAAUUCCCAGGUGCUACUGACCCUGCUCAUUGACACUUUAAAUAGCACUGUUUUAGGGCCCUGAACACCUUAAAACUUCUGUUUUAGUUACUUGAGUACAAAUUCCUCCUCCAAGUAAACUGUAAGUUCUCAAGAGAAGGGCCAGCAUCUACCUUCUCUUCUAUCUGGAGGAGGCAGGCCUUGGGCUGGGACUUGAAGGAUGGGAAGGACUGGGAGCCCUGCAACAAGGAGCCUAGGACCAGGAAGUGAAAGCGUCUUAGUUGUGAGAUGAUGAUGAGAUAUGAAGGCGCAAGAGGAAAUAAGCCUAGGGAGAUGUGUCAGCCUGGAUUUUGAGAGAUGAGAGUGGGGGAGAACCUUGAAAGGCAGGCAGAAGCGUGUACAUUUGAGUUUCUAACCUGCAAAAGCCAAGGGCUGAACUGCAUGGUGUCAUGACAGUGGUUGUAUCAUGACAAUGGUCCUGUCCCAUUACCAAAGCUGUGUGGAGCUUGGACUCCCUCUUCACAUUCCCAGCAAUGUGCAUGUUCUAGAUGUGCCAUAGAUCUUCUAGCUCCCAAAGUCCAUUGUUCUGCAAAUGACUGUUAUCCACGAAAACAUGGACUAUGGCUCUGGGUGUGCCAACUGACCCUGCAUACCUGAACCAAACCAGAGCCUUGAGGUCACUGGGACUGGUACCCCCUCCCACAAAUCCUGGCUCAUUCCCUCUCUGAGGACCAGGUGCUGGUUUGUUUGGAAGUUGCUUGACCAAGAAGCCAGAAACAUCAUUGCCUCUAGAAAUUGGGUUCUUUUCUCAAUUUCAGCAUAAGCUUGAUUUAAGGAGAUAAUCAUUAGAAAGAAGGACAUGACCACCUGGAGGCAACAGAUCUGGGCUCAGUGAAAAGCCCUUGGUGCUGUUCUGCUGUUUUUCUGCUCUGCCUGCCUCACAGAGUACUGAUGAGGUUAAAUAAUUAAUGUCUGUGAAUGUACUCUGUAAGCUCUAAAGCACUGCAGGAAUAUAAUUAAUUAUGUUUAUAAUUACAGGUAAUGUAAUUAUAAUUGUAAUUACUUUGUGGUGGAAGCAGAAUAGAUCUACCCAUGCCUGUUCUCUAGUAGGGUAUCCUUGGUGGAUAUCCUUGGUGAGAUCAUCAAUUUACACGUUUGAGCUUGACUCACUCUCUCUGACUUUAUAUUCAACUUUGGGAUAUAUGUGAGACUUGGGCUCAAGGACUUCUGGCUGUACUUUAGAAAAUGGGAAAAAAACACACAGAGUGAAGCUGGCGGGGGGGGGGCAGUACCUCUGUGGUAAUAUUCUUUGGUGCUUAUCUAUCAGGUAGGUAAAGUUAAGGCAUUUAUUUAUGAAUUUACCUAUAUAUAGCAAUAGUUCUCAAAGAGCUCCUAUAGCUAAACAUAAAAAACCUACAUAUAUAGUCACUUAUGAUGGAGCAUGAUAAUGUGAGAAAAAGGAAUGUUCAUGAGUAUGUGUGACUGGGUCACCUUCCUGUAAGUAGAAAAUUGACAGAACACUGUAAACCAGCUAUAAUGGGGAAAAAAUCAUUAAAUAAAAAACCCCACACAUAUACACAAACAGUUUAUAUAACUGAUAUAUAUUUCUAACUGAUCAAAGCAGCAGUUAUUUCCAGAAAUCCGCUAGAAUCCAGUACAAUCUAAUAUGAUCACACUAAUGCUAAAUUACAAGUCUGUUCUAUAUAUCAAGCAAUGUUUAAUAAUACUAAGCUAAAAAUGUAAUAUAUUAUACUAUUUUGUUUGCUCAGCAAAAUGAAUAAACUUGAUAGGAAUGUCAGAUACUUUACUUCCUUCCAUUAACAUGCUUAAUCUUAAAAAAUGAUGGUAUUUGGGUCCAUGUUCUGGAGCAACAGCUGUAUUUGUGCCUGAGAAAGGCAUGCCAGGGCUAGGGAUUCUCAGAGAUCAUCAGAGAAGUCUUUACUGUUAAGAUGUAAGACCACCAGAACCACUGUCUGAAUUUUUCUCCAUUUGAAAGAUCGGUAUAAUGGUGACAUAUUUAACAGGGAAGAUGCUUCUGGUGUCUCCUUCCUUAAAAUGGCAAGAUUCUACCCGAGAAGCUAAAUCAUAUUUCUUUGAAGUCUCUGAUCUUCUGCCCUUGUUCCUAUGCACUGUUAAUUGUUGUUAAUUUCUAACACCUCAUUAAUUAUUUCCAUUAAAGAUGUGGGAGAGGGAAAUGCCCUUCACUCAUGGAUGGUCACACAAAUAAACCAUUAAUAAUUUUAAAAAGUGAGUUACUUUUAAAGCGAAAAGUGAAUUUGAGCCAUUCGCAUAAAAGUCUUUGUUUCUGAUGGCUAGGCUGUGACAUUCUGAAAUCCUGCCACUGUCAGUGUAAGCAGGGACAAUCAGGAGGACACAGUCUUGUGGCGGAGGAAGAAGCUGAGUCUCCUUUUGUUUCCUUAAUGAGUGUAACAUUUGGCCUCUAGAACAUAAUGUACUUUUCAGGGAACUUUUUACAACUGUUUCUUCCUUGCAAAAGAAGCCUAGAGGUGGAACAGUUUCUUCCAAUGUCACAGCCCAAGUCAGUCACACAAUUAGUACCUUACGUGGAGUUCCUAACUCCCACUCUCAUUCAGCCCAUCAGACCAUGCCAGGAGGUCAGCAGUCGGGCUGUGAUGACUUCCACUCCCACCUCAGGCUUUCACAGAGGUGGUGCCAAGACCAUUUCCCUGACAUUGGGCUGCCAGUCUUUGAAAAAAUGCUGAGAUUGACAUUUAGUGUUGAGAUUUUAAUUUAUUGCCUAUCUUGAAAGCUCAAGCAGAAGCAUCCUUCCCACAAGUUUUUAGGAGUGUUGAGAAUUAAACAUUGUAUUGGAAAAGAAACAUUGAAUAUGGCUUCUAGUUUUGACCAACUAGUGGAAGAUUUUAGGGUGUGGACAAAAGAUUGGGAAAAGUAGGUGAAAAAUUAUCUUAUGGGUGAAGAUUUCAACAGUGAAAUCUGGACAGCUUAAAUUCUAUAGCUAACAGUAGAGUCAUUGCAAGGAUAAUAUUUUGAACUUAAAGGCGGAUAUAAUUCUUUUAGUUGAACCCCUUGUUGCUAAUAAGAAAAUGGAGAUCCAGAGAGGAUCAGGCAACCCCUUAGCUGUGAAUAUGGGAAAUAUGGGAACUGAUCAUUUAAGGGGCUUUUAUGACUUCCAGUUUUGAUUCUGUUUUUCAUCUAGACUGUGAUCUCAAGAGCAUGGGGUGACAUCUCUCUCUUCUUCUUCCUGUUUCUCUUCCUUUUCUUGUUCUUCCAUGCCAGCGUACUGGGCAGGUAAGAGGGAACAACUUUCUACUUUCUGGAAUAGACUGAAGACUAUACCAGGCAGUGUUGGGGUAUCAGAUGACAUCGUGGACAAAGGCCAGGUGGCAAUUCUAAACAUUAGGCUGGUUUUGAGGAACUGUUUAACUUCAGGCCACUGUUUUUUCUCACCUGUAUAAUGAGGCACUUAUAUUUUAAUUCUUAAGGGUUAUCAGACAGUUGGAUUCUAAGGUCUGAAUUCCCCUAUAAUUUUUUCUGAUUGUUUUGACAGUUUCUCUUAAUUGCUAUAUAGUAGUCUAUGCUUGACACAACUCUGCAUUUUAAUUAUUCCCUCUUCUAUACGUGGACAUUGCAGUUGUUGGAAGUUUUGUUUUGUUUUCAUUAGAAGGCAUGCCACAAUAAAUAUUUUUGUACAAAUA
rnacentral:lncRNA from 1 species